AGAAACCGUCCCUAUUACAACAUCAUUGGCGGUGGAAGGGUUGAAUUGUGGAAUGGGAGAUCCUUCGGAUGAGUAUACAUUGAUGAAACGAUGAUCCCUUACAGAGCAAGGCGACGAGCUGA
rnacentral:ribozyme from 12 species